GAAUUCCCGGUGUAGCGGUGAAAUGCGUAGAGAUCGGGAGGAACNCCAGUGNCGAAGGCGGCNUACUGGGCUUUAANUGACGCUGAGGCACGAAAGCAUGGGUAGCAAACAGGAUUAGAUACCNUGGUAGUCCAUGCCGUAAACGAUGAUUACUAGGUGUGGGGGGUNUGACCCCUUCCGUGCCNGGAGUUAACACAAUAAGUAAUCCACCUGGGGAGUACGGCCGCAAGGUUGAAANUCAAAGGAAUUGACGGGGGCCCGCACAAGCANNNGAGUAUGUGGUUUAAUUNGANGCAACGCGAAGAACCUUANCAGGUCUUGACAUCCAACUAACGAGGCAGAGAUGCAUUAGGUGCCCUUCGGGGAAAGUUGAGACAGGUGGUGCAUGGUUGUCGUCAGCUCGUGUCGUGAGAUGUUGGGUUAAGUCCCGCAACGAGCGCAACCCUUGUGAUUAGUUGNUACGCAAGAGCACUCUAAUCAGACUGCCGUUGACAAAACGGAGGAAGGUGGGGACGACGUCAAAUCAUCAUGCCCCUUAUGACCUGGGCUACACACGUACUACAAUGGUCGCCAACAGAGGGAAGCCAAACCGCGAGGUGGAGCAAACCCCCAAAAGCGAUCUCAGUUCGGAUUGUAGGCUGCAACCCGCCUACAUGAAGUUGGAAUUGCUAGUAAUCGCGGAUCAGCAUGCCGCGGUGAAUACGUUCCCGGGCCUUGCACACACCGCCCGUCACACCAUGGGAGCCGGUAAUACCCGAAGCCAAUAGUCUAACCGCAAGGAGGACGUUGUCGAAGGUAGGAUUGGCGACUGGGGUGAAGUCGUAACAAGGUAGCCGUAUCGGAAGGUGCGGCUGGAUCACCUCCUU
rnacentral:rRNA from 1 species